GGACUACCAGGGUAUCUAAUCCUGUUUGAUCCCCACGCUGUCGCGCAUGAGCGUCAGUAACGGGCCAGUGAGCCGCCUUCGCCACCGGUGUUCUUCCCAAUAUCUACGAAUUUCACCUCUACACUGGGAAUUCCACUCACCUCUCCCGUACUCCAGCCUUACAGUUUCAAAGGCAGUUCCAGAGUUGAGCUCUGGGCUUUCACCCCUGACUUGAAAGGCCGCCUGCGCGCGCUUUACGCCCAGUAAUUCCGAACAACGCUAGCCCCCUUCGUAUUACCGCGGCUGCUGGCAC
rnacentral:rRNA from 1 species